rnacentral:rRNA from 1 species
UGCGUAGGCGGCUUAGUCAGUCAGGGGUGAAAGUUCUGGGCUUAACCGAGGAAUUGCCUUUGAUACUGCUAAGCUUGAAUCAGGUUGAGGUAGGCGGAAUGUGGCAUGUAGCGGUGAAAUGCUUAGAUAUGCCAUAGAACACCAAUUGCGAAGGCAGCUUACUGGACCUGCAUUGACGCUAAGGCACGAAAGCGUGGGGAGCGAACAAGAUUAGAUACCCUGGUAGUCC